UACGUAGGGUGCGAGCGUUGUCCGGAAUUAUUGGGCGUAAAGAGCUCGUAGGCGGUUUGUUGCGUCGGCCGUGAAAACCUGCAGCUUAACUGUGGGCCUGCGGCCGAUACGGGCAGACUUGAGUUCGGUAGGGGAGAGUGGAAUUCCUGGUGUAGCGGUGAAAUGCGCAGAUAUCAGGAGGAACACCGGUGGCGAAGGCGGGUCUCUGGGCCGAUACUGACGCUGAGGAGCGAAAGCGUGGGGAGCGAACAGG
rnacentral:rRNA from 1 species